rnacentral:rRNA from 1 species
GAGGUAGUGACAAGAAAUAACAAUACAGGGCAAUUGUCUUGUAAUUGGAAUGAUGGUGACCUAAACCCUCACCAGAGUAACAAUUGGAGGGCAAGUCUGGUGCCAGCAGCCGCGGUAAUUCCAGCUCCAAUAGCGUAUAUUAAACUUGUUGCAGUUAAAAAGCUCGUAGUUGAAUUUCUGCGUUAUCGUUUUCGUUGCUUUCGCUUCGUUUCGAUUUCGCUUUUGGGGUUUUCCCCUUUUUACUUUGAGAAAAUUAGAGUGUUUCAAGCAGACUUUUGUCUUGAAUACUUCAGCAUGGAAUAAUAGAGUAGGACUUUGGUUCUAUUUUGUUGGUUUACGAACCUUAGUAAUGGUUAAUAGGAACGGUUGGGGGCAUUCGUAUUUAACUGUCAGAGGUGAAAUUCUUAGAUUUGUUAAAGACGAACUACUGCGAAAGCAUUUGCCAAGGACGUUUUCAUUAAUCAAGAACGAAAGUUAGGGGAUC